UGAGCACCUUAAGAUUCUGAUACAACCUACUUUAUAUUGUGGCAAUGCUCCAGUCUUAAAUCGUUGUUGAGCUUCUUCAAUGACUAAGGCACGGGAAAUGUUCCACUCUUAAAUCUCUGUGUGGGUCACGAUCCAUCUCCAUAAUCAAUCCCAAUAAAGAUAAAACCACAAUUGCUAAACAAAUCCCAUCCCAAUUCACCAAAACCCAUCCCCGCAAUCCCCAGCAAAUUAACGAAUAGGGAGCAGUUGAGGAAUGAGUUGAUCCAGCAUCCAAUUAGAGAAACACCAAACGGUGGAGACACUAGAGCAACAUGACAUGGGGGAUAUGUUCGUGCACCUCAGCGGAGCAUUGGAACCGAAGAAGAAGCCAGAGAUGGAAUGCGCUGCAUCCCUCUACGAGAACCAGGAGCGUCUUGAUCUCCUCCACCAUUGCUACUAUGGGCCACCACUUGCGACGGAGCGCAAAGCUGUUCACUUGCCACUUGGAUGGUGACACAUUUAAUGGUUAUACUUGAGCAUUUGUUAGUCAUUAGUCUUAUAUUCGAGUCUUAUUGACUCUUGAUUAGUCACUAAUGUUAUACUUGAAUCUUGAUUAGUCAUUCAUGUUAUAAUUGGAUCUUGUUUAAUUAUUAGGGUUACACUUGGGGUUUUUUUA